GAAUAAGCUUGGUUAGGUUGUUGCUGGCUCUUCGGGGCAUGUGCACACCUGACACCAACUUUUCUUACCACCUGUGCACUUUUUGUAGACUUUGGAAUACCUCUCGAGGAAACUCGGUUUUGAGGACUGCUGUGCGCAAGCCGGCUUUCCUUACAUUUUCCGGUCUAUGUUUUUCUAUAUACCCUAUAGUAUGUCACAGAAUGUCAUUUUAAUGGGCUUAAUUGCCUUUAAACCUAUACAACUUUCAACAACGGAUCUCUUGGCUCU
rnacentral:misc_RNA from 1 species